GUUUCUGAAUAAGGUCACAUUCUGAGGUUGGAGGUGGACAUGAAUUUUGGAGGGACACUAUUUAACCCACUACUGCUAACCCAGCUUGAGGAGCCUAAGCCAACUGCUGGUCUGUGUGCUUCAUGCACCAAACCCAGCACUUCCAGCCUCCCAGAAGACAGAGUGAGAGCCCCAGAGUGAGAUACAGAAACAUGGAGAUCCCAAACAGACCGAAAGAUGGUGGCAUGGAGGCUGGGAAAGGGAAGGAGAUGGCAUUUUCCAGGAAAUCACAAACUAAGCAGAAACUCAAAAGAAAAAUACAACCAAGUGCCAACUAUUUUUUGACAGAAAUGUGAAUUUAAAAGUCAAGCACCCAAGAACCCCAGCUAUCUCAUCAACACUUCAGAUGCCUCAGAAACACAUUG
rnacentral:lncRNA from 1 species